UCGGGAAUUUUGGGCAAUGGGGGAAACCCUGACCCAGCAACGCCGCGUGAAGGAUGAAGUAUUUCGGUAUGUAAACUUCGAAAGAAUAGGAAGAAUAAAUGACGGUACUAUUUAUAAGGUCCGGCUAACUACGUGCCAGCAGCCGCGGUAAUACGUAGGGACCAAGCGUUGUUCGGAUUUACUGGGCGUAAAGGGCGCGUAGGCGGCAUAGCAAGUCGGAUGUGAAAUCCCUCGGCUCAACCAAGGAAGUGCAUCCGAAACUGCUGUGCUUGAGUACGAAAGAGGAUCGCGGAAUUCCCGGUGUAGAGGUGAAAUUCGUAGAUAUCGGGAGGAACACCAGUGGCGAAGGCGGCGAUCUGGGUCGAUACUGACGCUGAGGUGCGAAAGCGUGGGGAGCAAACAGGAUUAGAUACCCCAGUAGUCCCUGAGCGGGCUGGCAAGGCGCAU
rnacentral:rRNA from 1 species